GGGUGUAAUCAUACCGACAGUAAUGCAUAGGAUCCCAUCAGAACUUCGUAGUUAAGCGUGCUUGCGGGAUAGUAGUAUUAUGAUAGGUGACCUUCAGGGAAGUCCUCGUGUUGCACCUC
rfam:Gossypium hirsutum cultivar TM-1 scaffold9204.1_1, whole genome shotgun sequence